GGAGAGGUGUCCGAGUGGUCGAUGGUGACGGUCUUGAAAACCGUUGUGUGUAACAGCACCGAGGGUUCGAAUCCCUCCUUCUCCG
rnacentral:tRNA from 1 species